rnacentral:sRNA from 1 species
AAACGUAAUUUUUGUUCCCGAAAGGAUUUGCUUAAUUGCAAAGAUGCCUUGUAACCGUAUUUAAUUAAGGGGGAAAUUUUCAAG